UACAGAGGGUGCAAGCGUUAAUCGGAAUUACUGGGCGUAAAGCGCGCGUAGGUGGUUCGUUAAGUUGGAUGUGAAAUCCCCGGGCUCAACCUGGGAACUGCAUCCAAAACUGGCAAGCUAGAGUAUGGCAGAGGGUGGUGGAAUUUCCUGUGUAGCGGUGAAAUGCGUAGAUAUAGGAAGGAACACCAGUGGCGAAGGCGACCACCUGGGCUAAUACUGACACUGAGGUGCGAAAGCGUGGGGAGCAAACAGG
rnacentral:rRNA from 1 species